CAAUAGCGUAUAUUAAAGUUGUUGCAGUUAAAAAGCUCGUAGUUGGAUUUCGGGACGGGCCAGUUGGUCCGCCGCAAGGUGUGUUACUGACUGGUCUGUUCUUCUUCGCAAAGACUGCGUGUGCUCUUCGUUGAGUGUGCGUAGGAUUUACGACGUUUACUUUGAAAAAAUUAGAGUGUUCAAAGCAGGCUAUCGCUUGAAUACAUGAGCAUGGAAUAAUGGAAUAGGACUUUGGUCCUAUUUUGUUGGUUUCUAGGACCGAAGUAAUGAUUAAGAGGGACAAUUGGGGGCAUCCGUAUUUCGUUGUCAGAGGUGAAAUUCUUGGAUUUACGAAAGACAAACUGCUGCGAAAGCGUCUGCCAAGGAUGUUUUCAUUGA
rnacentral:rRNA from 1 species